CAGCGCAGAAGCACAUGGACUGAGGAAUCGACACUCUUCUUCGGUAAAUGCAAGGUGCUCAGAUGCUGAUUGAAGUAGGGAGGAGAAAUCGUGUGACGUGCCUGCAUCAGUGAUAAAGUCUGCAAGGCUGGGGAACAUGUCGCAGUUCCCUCGACUGAUGCGGCCAUGCCAGAGGUCUAGUUUUUGUGUGAAGGCGUGCACUUUGUCUGCAAGGAGCAAAAUAGUACCAGAUGAUGACCUACUAUGCAGUGGAAAUUUUGCCAUGUCGAUGACACUUCACAUUAUUGUGCAUGACAGUGACAUCUUGGAGAAGUGGCCUGCACUUUUCACAGAAAGAUUCAGAUGUAGAUGCAGGCUUCAGUGAAUUAGCUUUUGGACUGCUCACAGUUUUACCAUACAUCCACAUGCCCUCAACGUGGACGCAAUGGAGGGAAGAAUUGUCGUGAUGAUGUCCCAAAUUUGCCUCAUUCUGUAUGUCUCCACUUUGCUUUGAUCUAUGCUCUAAAUUUAGACCAUCCAAAGACAAUGAGGAAUCACAUUUGAUUUUAUUCAAUGGGUAUUUCUGUCUUUGGGAGGACAAGAAUCUCAAACCCAAACACCAAACCCUUAAAAAUAGUAUUUUAAGCUGAACUUGUUUCUGGCACAUUUUGCUGUAAUUGCAGUUCAGUUUUUCCAAAUUGAAAAGGCUCUUUCUUCUCUUUUUUUUCCCUUUUUUAAAUACUUUUUUGGAGUUUGCACAGUGCCUGUUCUGCAAAUGCUCUAUACCUUGUUUAUGGUCCAGAUAUAACAGAUUGUUUUAAAGGCAUAGUUUUUUUUAUUGUGGUGUUCUUAGUUUCAGCUGUUUAUUACACAAAUAAACAGUUGAGAAUUUCAAACUUGUUACGAGUGUUAUUUGAACUAGAAAAAUUAUGUUCAGUUUGCUUAAAGAAAAUCUGGAAAGCGAUUGCACGUAGUAUUUUAAGUUUACACAACUUAAAGUGAUACAGUAAACUCAUGUUGAGAUCAGUGGUAUUUCAGAUUUAAAGUGAAUUGUAUUAAAUGUAAUUUAAUUGAGUUAAAUAAUAAUAUAUAAAUAAAUAAUUUGUAAGGUUACUAAUUAAUUUAUAGAAAAUUAACAAAAAAAUUUAGUUAACUAGAAAUGUACUAUUAAGUUUAACUCUUUCCCCGCCAAACACGGAAUUUUCCGGGUUUUAUGAAAAAACGCUUCCCCGCCAAACACGGAAUUUUCCGGGUAUCCGUGUUUUAGGUGGUAUACGGUAAGGAAGACCUGCGCGCAUCUUUUGAAAGAGUACGCAACUCUUUGAUCAAAGAAACAGACCGCGAUCGUCUCAAACGUGAAGUGGAACACCAUACUAAAACUAAAGCACUUGUUUGAUAAAAAUGCCUUUUUCUCAGCUUUUUGUCCGAAAUGUUGUUUUUGACAAAACCUACCUCUGUUCAAGUGGCAAUAAAAAAAGAACAUAUGAAGAUAAAAUAAAAUCGUUUAUUUUGCCUAAAAGCAGAGGCUCAGAUCUUUAUUUUGAUAUAUAGCAUCUUCAUAUAUUCAUGGAAGAAAAUAUUCUGCGGGCCAUUAAAUUUUAGCGAAAAUCGUCAAAAACCCUGGCGGUGGCUGGCAACUUUUUUAAAAACGCUGGCGGGGAAAGAGUUAAUAACAAGUUGACAUUACUUGUAUAGGAACAUUAAUAUAACUUCAUUUUAGUAAGUACGUUUUCUUUGCAAAAAUAAGGCAAUCGGUUUCCUUAAUUUUUAAGUAAACUUGAACAUGUAAAAUUUUUCAAUGUAUGCAGGUAAAAUAUUUAAAAUACUGUUUUGUGUUAGACGAUGUAAUGUUUAAAGUAUAUUGUACAAAGUAUGACUAAGUAAUGAACAGUUUUUUAUUGAAGACAAA